rnacentral:rRNA from 1 species
CCUACGGGAGGCAGCAGUUAAGAAUCUUGCGCAAUGGGGGCAACCCUGACGCAGCGACGCCGCGUGAAGGAUGAAGGCUUUCGGGUUGUAAACUUCGGUAGACUGGGAAGAAGAACUACGUUCGUUGAGGGCGUAGAGUGACGGUACCAGUCUGAAGCCCCGGCUAAUUACGUGCCAGCAGCCGCGGUAAUACGUAUGGGGCAAGCGUUGUUCGGAAUUAUUGGGCGUAAAGGGCUCGCAGGUGGUUUGUUAAGUUGGUGGUUUAAUCUCUGGGCUCAACCCAGAGUCAGCCUCCAAAACUGGCGAACUUGAGUACGAUAGGGGAUAGCGGAAUUCUCGGUGUAGCGGUGGAAUGCGUAGAUAUCGAGAGGAACACCAAUGGCGAAGGCAGCUAUCUGGAUCGUAACUGACACUCAUGAGCGAAAGUGCGGGGAGCAAACAGGAUUAGAUACCCUGGUAGUCCACGCCCUAAACGAUGUCAACUGGUUGUUGGGAAGGUUCCUUCUCAGUAACGUAGCUAACGCGUGAAGUUGACCGCCUGGGGAGUACGGCCGCAAGGUUGAAACUCAAAGGAAUUGACGG